AAACGGAACAAGAUAUCAAGAGGAAGUCGUCAUGGGCAAAACAAAGCGAUAAUAUGUUAAAAAGCUAGACGUAAUCACCCAAGCAUGGAGAAAUAGCGUCGGCUGACACAAA
rnacentral:lncRNA from 1 species